rnacentral:rRNA from 1 species
AGACUCCUACGGGAGGCAGCAGUGGGGAAUAUUGCACAAUGGGCGAAAGCCUGAUGCAGCGACGCCGCGUGAGGGAUGACGGCCUUCGGGUUGUAAACCUCUUUCAGCAGGGAAGAAGCGAGAGUGACGGUACCUGCAGAAGAAGCGCCGGCUAACUACGUGCCAGCAGCCGCGGUAAUACGUAGGGCGCAAGCGUUGUCCGGAAUUAUUGGGCGUAAAGAGCUCGUAGGCGGCUUGUCACGUCGGUUGUGAAAGCCCGGGGCUUAACCCCGGGUCUGCAGUCGAUACGGGCAGGCUAGAGUUCGGUAGGGGAGAUCGGAAUUCCUGGUGUAGCGGUGAAAUGCGCAGAUAUCAGGAGGAACACCGGUGGCGAAGGCGGAUCUCUGGGCCGAUACUGACGCUGAGGAGCGAAAGCGUGGGGAGCGAACAGGAUUAGAUACCCUGGUAGUCCACGCCGUAAACGGUGGGCACUAGGUGUGGGCAACAUUCCACGUUGUCCGUGCCGCAGCUAACGCAUUAAGUGCCCCGCCUGGGGAGUACGGCCGCAAGGCUAAAACUCAAAGGAAUUGACGGGGGCCCGCACAAGCGGCGGAGCAUGUGGCUU